GGAGUUAGGAAAUGCAGUGCGGUUAAUACCCGUGCUGUUUGACAAAUGCCCCAGAGGAAGCACUGGCUAACUACGUGCCAGCAGCCGCGGUAAUACGUAGAGUGCAAACGUUGUUCGGAAUCACUGGGCAUAAAGAGCUCGUAGGCGGCUCGGUAAGUCGGUUGUGAAAGCCCCUGGCUCAACCAGGGAAUUGCGGCCGAAACUACAGGGCUUGAGUGUGAGAGGGGAGAGUGGAAC
rnacentral:rRNA from 1 species